UGAAACGCGACGUAAACCAUUAAAGUUAACGUGAGUGUUUCUUCGCGUCUCCAGAGCCACUUCCGUUGCGCAGUCGAUCUUUCGUCUCCUUCGUUGCGUGAUACCAGUAACCGACCAUUAAUCGACCCACGAUCUAUAUAUAUAAAGAGAAAUCAUGCUAUCUGUUGGUCUUCUCACCUUCACGGUUCUGAUUCUAACGUCGUCUCUCUUCCUCUUAUAAGCAAUUCUUCUGAGAAUUGUCUUUUCCUCUUCUGUUCGUCGGUAUUCUGAGUUGGGCUUCAAUAUUUUCUGAUACAAUCGAUUACCUCUUGGCCUCUCCACCUCCUACUGCGAGAGCGGGAGACUUGCCGCAGAGACCAACUAUGCCGGAAUCUGAGAUGUAAGGCCAUGUGGAUCUUCGACAUCGUCUAGAAGCUCCUCACAAAUUUAGACUACUACAUGGCUCAUGGUUACAGAUACGAUCUCUAUUAUUGACUGUUGGAUCUUUAUCCGUUAUAAAUCUGAAGUAUUGAAUCAGAUAUUAAACAUAAAUCUGUUAGCGUGGUAUCUUCUCCACAUUGAGAUCCCAUUUACUGAUUAAGAUAACUGGUUCUGUUGUAAUUGCAUCGUUGUUGUUCAUGGCAUAUCGAUCGGUUUGACGGAAUUAUUUUUUUGGUUGAGCAUAUAUCAAACUGAAAUCAUCUGUUUAAAUGGUCCUGUCGGUGUGUCGGUGUCUUCAAUGGAGUUGAGAGAUGAUUGUGAUGUUGAGACUGAUAAUAGAAGUAAUAGAUGAUGUAUUUGUGAUUUCUAAGAAGUCUAAUUUGGAUUCAACCAAAUAUCAGAGCUGUUCUGAGAUUCAAGUCAAGUCUGAAGCCGAAACUUCUGUUAACCCAUGUAAAUGAAUUGCUAUCUCUUUAUGAAAUCGUCUAAAGUGCAAGCUGGAGAUAUGUUACAACUGAAUUCACUCACUAAAAAAAUGCUCACUGCAUUUCCAUAUCUUAAUGACCAAUCCCAUGAUGCAUAUGUGUAACUGUAUAUUUUCCAGUUUAUGAAGGCAACUUAAUUCAUGGACAAAUAGAAGUAUGCAAAUAGACUCACACCAGAAAGAGAUGAAGCUAUCAAGAAUUGUGAGGUGACCAUGGUUGGAAAAAAAUCGUUAUUUGUCAUUUUCUCCAGGCUCUUUUACUUGGAAGAAGGCCUUGGAGAAGGUCAACUUUGUGUCUUCUUCCGCAGCAAUCACUUAGAUACCAUGAUAAACAGUCUUCAAGUGUGUCGGUGGAAGAUGGGAUCAACAUGAUGCAAUUAGUAAUAUUGAGGAUUAUAUCUGCAUCAUCAACAAUUCAUCAGAGGAAGGCUUAGAGAUUGAGUCCGAAGAGCUCCAGCUUUUAAAGCGAGCUUGAGACUGUACAAUGCUUUAAAAACACUUUGGUUCUCUAUCGUUCUGCAAACCGGUCGGGAGGGCCAAAAGAGGGUCACCAAGACUAAUCGCCGAGACGCCACUUACUACGAUAUAUUAAUAUUGGGUUAGAGCUUUAGCACAACAAAAUAGAUUUGAUGGUUUAUCUGCUUAUUUGCAGGUGUCCCAGUUUAUAGAUAUGAACGUUGCUGACAAAAGUAGUGGACACCAUGUGCUUGCAAAGGGGAGAUGUCAAACUGAGGCGCUCUCCUGUAUGAUUAACUGAAUCUUAACGACGCUCUGAUAGCAUACCAAACAGCCACAAAAGCAGCGGUUCAGAUUCAGGAGCGUUUAGGGAUAAAACGUUGAAAGCGGCACAGUCAAAGUUUAUCCACUUUACCAACAUGGGAGAAGAGGCUAAGAGCGUAUGAUGAAGUUACAGACGUUAUGCAUAGGAAUGUUAUUUAAUUAGUGACAAAAAUAAAUAAAAUUCUCAUGGAGGACUAGACAAUGAGAGUAUAAUAUUCUCAUGGUAUACAAAAAUAAAAUUAAUAAUAAUAAUCCUAUAAUAGAAAAAUUAACGUAAGGUAGCUAAUUUUUUAGCACACCUUUG